rnacentral:rRNA from 1 species
CCUACGGGGGACAGCAGUGAGGAAUAUUGGUCAAUGGACGAAAGUCUGAACCAGCCAUGCCGCGUGUAGGAUGACGGCCCUACGGGUUGUAAACCUCUUUUAUCGGGGAGUAAAGCGAACCACGUGUGGCUCAUUGAGAGUACCCGAAGAAUAAGCAUCGGCUAACUCCGUGCCAGCAGCCGCGGUAAUACGGAGGAUUCGAGCGUUAUCCGGAUUUAUUGGGUUUAAAGGGAGCGAAGGGGGUGGGGAAAGUCAGCGGUAAAAUUUCGGGGCUAAACCCCGUACUGCCGUUGAAACUGGAACCCUUGAGUGCACGAGAGGUAUGCGGAAUGCGUGGUGUAGCGGUGAAAUGCAUAGAUAUCACGAAGAACUCCGAUUGCGAAGGCAGCAUACCGGCGCGCGACUGACGUUCAUGCACGAAAGCGUGGGUAUCGAACAGGAUUAGAUACCCGAGUAGUC